AGCGAACGCUGGCGGCAGGCCUAGCACAUGCAAGUCGAGCGGGCACUUUCGGGUGUCAGCGGCGGACGGGUGAGUAACGCGUGGGAACGUGCCCUCUGGUUCGGAAUAACUCAGGGAAACUUGAGCUAAUACCGGAUACGCCCUUUUGGGGAAAGGCUUGCUGCCGGAGGAUCGGCCCGCGUCUGAUUAGCUAGUUGGUGAGGUAACGGCUCACCAAGGCGACGAUCAGUAGCUGGGCUGAGAGGAUGAUCAGCCACACUGGGACUGAGACACGGCCCAGAAUCCUACGGGAGGCAGCAGUGGGGAAUAUUGGAAAAUGGGCGCAAGCCUGAUCCAGCCAUGCCGGGUGAGUGAUGAAGGCCUUAGGGUUGUAAAGCUCUUUUAUCCGGGACGAUAAUGACGGUACCGGAGGAAUAAGCCCCGGCUAACUUCGUG
rnacentral:rRNA from 1 species